rnacentral:rRNA from 1 species
UACGUAGGGGGCGAGCGUUGUCCGGAAUUAUUGGGCGUAAAGGGUUCGUAGGCGGUUUUUUAAGUCAGAUGUGAAAGGUCACGGCUCAACCGUGGUAAGCAUCUGAAACUGAAAGACUUGAGUUAAGGAGAGGAAAGUGGAAUUCCUAGUGUAGCGGUGAAAUGCGUAGAUAUUAGGAGGAAUACCGGUGGCGAAGGCGACUUUCUGGACUUUUACUGACGCUCAGGUACGAAAGCGUGGGGAGCAAACAGG